UGUCAUGAAAGGCACUAACUGGAGUGUCCUUGAAUUUCAAAUACAAAUGAUUCUAGCGCCUUUAUUUGGAGGGGGGCCCAUUCCAGGUGGGCUGAUUGAUCUCACAGAGCUCCAUCCCUGAGCCUACGCCAGAGGAGCACGAUCACACACAAUAUCUACAUGGUCGCCCCCAAGCUGCCAGUUAUGAUCACCAAGCUAGAUGCAGUGAUCCAACUGCUCUAGCUGGAUCCUUGAUAACUGGAACUCCGGAGCCAAUCAGUUAAGGUUGUUGAAGCAGCAUGAUAACCUGAACUGAAAACACAAACACCUUCCUCUAAGAGUCAGCAAUGUUUUCUGAUCAGGCUGCUUGAAAAUAUACAAAGGUUUACCUCUCCUCCUUCCCCAAGUCACAAUUAAACAAAGGAAAAAAAUACUAGCA